AUACGUAGGGAGCGAGCGUUGUCCGGAAUUACUGGGUGUAAAGGGAGCGUAGGCGGGAGUGCAAGUCAGAUGUGAAAUACAUGGGCUCAACCCAUGGGCUGCAUUUGAAACUGCAUUUCUUGAGUGAAGUAGAGGUAAGCGGAAUUCCUGGUGUAGCGGUGAAAUGCGUAGAUAUCAGGAGGAACACCGGUGGCGAAGGCGACUUACUGGGCCAUUACUGACGCUGAGGCUCGAAAGCGUGGGGAGCAAACAGGAUUAGAUCCCCUGGUAGUCCACGCUGUAAACGAUGAUUACUAGGUGUGGGGGGACUGACCCCUUCCGUGCCGCAGGUAACACAAUAAGUAAUCCACCUGGGGAGUACGGCCGCAAGGUUGAAACUCAAAUGAAUUGACGGGG
rnacentral:rRNA from 1 species